GGGCUAGAGCUAAGUGGUAGAGCAUCUGCUUUGCAUGCAGAGGGCUCCAAAUUCAAACCCUGGCACCUCCUGCUAGCUCU